rnacentral:rRNA from 1 species
UACGGUAGGGGGCUAGCGUUGUCCGGAAUCAUUGGGCGUAAAGAGCGUGUAGGCGGCCCGGUAAGUCCGCUGUGAAAGUCGGGGGGCUCAACCCUCGAAUGCCGGUGGAUACUGUCGGGCUAGAGUGCGGAAGAGGCGAGUGGAAUUCCUGGUGUAGCGGUGAAAUGCGCAGAUAUCAGGAGGAACACCGAUUGCGAAGGCAGCUCGCUGGGACGUAACUGACGCUGAGGAGCGAAAGCCAUGGGGAGCGAACAGG